GGACCCUGAAAAAGGCGUUGGCUAACAAGGAAGCACUAACUCCUCAAACUAACAAACCAAAGGAAGCAUCAAGGACACCUUUCCAGAAGCCUAAAGCAACAGCUGAGCUUCAGGAAGGAUAUGAUGUCACAAAAUUGUAUGAUCAAGCGGAUAAUGAUAGUUUCAUGAAGACUCCUCCGAGUCCACCUUUUUCUUUUAGAAGCCAGGAUACUCCCCAAACUCCAGCUUCUGGUCUCAAAUACCAGCAAGCUCCUCGGAGUCCAACUUCUGGUUUUAAAAGCCAACAGCCUCCUCGGAGUCCAACUUCUGGUUUUAAAAGCCAGCAGCCUCCUCGGAGUCCAACUUCUGGUUUCAAAAGCCAGCAGCAUCAUCGGAGUCCAACUUCUGGUUUCAAAAGCAAGCAUGCUCCUCCGAGUACAACUUCCACCUAUAAAAGUCAGCAGCUUCUUUGAAGUCCAACUUCUGGUUUCAAAAGCCAGCAGGCACCUCGGAGUCUAACUUCCGCUUUGAAGAGCUGCAAUGUACCUAGGAGUCCAACAAGUGCUGCCAUCAAAAGCCAGGUUGUGAAAACAACAGAUAACAAAACAAGGAUUCCUUCUCUUCAACUACCCAAGACACCCGAGCCACUGAUAACCUCUAUAAGUGAGAACAAGGCAGGAAUGCAAAGUAACCGUACUAUUUCAUCUGAAUUCCAGAAGCCUUUGACUAGCAGUACUCAUGGAAAGGGAUCUCAAAUACGAAGAUCACUUCGGACUAUUGGGAUAAUGGUUCUGAUAGAAAGAACCAACAGAAAAGGACUAAAGCAGCAGCCCCAUUAUCGCCUUUUAGUUGCCAAAAUGAGGAGAAGUCAUCAACAGCAUCUAAUGCAAGGACACUGAGAAGACAAUCCUUAACUGGCAUCCCACUACCAAUCAUGUCGAGAAGAUCUUCACUUGGAAGAGGGAGCGUGCCGGAUUCUUGUGCAAAUGAAAGUAGAAAUUGCAAAACUCCAGGCGCGUCAGCCAAGUUAACAAAGAGGUGGCUAUGAGGAAACAACACUAAGUAGUUAACACCAAGAAGCUGAUACAUGAAAUAAAAAUUGAAAGACAUAAAUAGCUGGAAAGGGAGAUUAAAAUAAGUCAGUCCACCUCAGCAACCAGUUCAAGAAAG